CAGAGGUCCCAAGCGUUGUUCGGAUUUACUGGGCGUAAAGGGUGCGUAGGUGGUCGGGUAAGUCUCAUGUGAAAUCUCCAAGCUUAACUUGGAAAUGGCAUGGGAUACUAUUCGGCUAGAGGAUUGGAGGGGGGACUGGAAUUCCCGGUGUAGCAGUGAAAUGCGUAGAUAUCGGGAGGAACACCAGUGGCGAAGGCGAGUCCCUGGACAAUUCCUGACGCUGAGGCACGAAAGCUAGGGGAGCAAACAGGAUUAGAUACCCUGGUAGUCCUAGCUGUAAACGGUGCUCACUUGCUGUAGACGGAAUCGACCCCGUCUGUGGCGAAGCUAACGCGUUAAGUGAGCCGCCUGGGGAGUACGGUCGCAAGAUUA
rnacentral:rRNA from 1 species